rnacentral:rRNA from 1 species
UACCAGCACCCCGAGUGGUUGGGACGUUUAUUGGGCCUAAAGCAUCCGUAGCCGGUUCUACAAGUCUUCCGUUAAAUCCAGCUGCUUAACAGAUGGGCUGCGGAAGAUACUAUGGAGCUAGGAGGCGGGAGAGGCAAGCGGUACUCGAUGGGUAGGGGUAAAAUCCGUUGAUCCAUUGAAGACCACCAGUGGCGAAGGCGGCUUGCCAGAACGCGCUCGACGGUGAGGGAUGAAAGCUGGGGGGAGCAAACCGG